CCUUACAUGUGUACCGUGGCAUUUUAUAUGUAUAAUAAUAAAAUAUUACUUUGUUCAAAUUUGUAAAUUUGUGAUUGAAAAAUGGUGUCUGUUAAACUAUUUUUAGACCACUUGUUCUCCUAGAUAUCUCUAUAAGGGAUUAUAUGUGUACAAGUAUUCUCAGCGGCAGGCCAACCUUAUCCAGCUCAUCGGUACCAAGACUACGGAGCAGAUAAGCGGUAUCGAGAGAGCAUUUGCCGCAUAGCUGAUAAUUUCCGCCGCAAGAUGGCGUCUGGAGUCGUUUACUCGAAGACGCUUACGGCCGUUAAAUGUCCACUGCUGGACAUAAGCCUUCCCCAUAUGGGGAAUUUUGCCAGUAUUGCCAUGCCACGCUUGGCAGGCAAGUUGGCAACUGCAGUUAGGCUUUAGAGAUAUGUUAAGAGGGACGCUGCUGCUCAUCCCUCGCCCUCCAUUAGUUGGCUUUUAAAACACCUACGGGAAAGGAAGGGAUGGCCUAUUCUAUGCCGGAACCACACGGCGAGUAUUGUAAGUGCAUAACAUAAAUUAUAUGCACAGCUGUCCUUUAUUAAUCGUAAGAGCCUUUAAUAGAAGCUGUAAGUAGCUGAUAAAUAGCUACCAGCUGUAUGGAGUAGUGUCAAAACAGAUAUGCAACCAUAAUUAAUUCCUGAAGGACGUUUGCAGUGUCACGCCAACUGCAUCCCAACGCUAGCUUGCCGCUUCGUCUACGGCGAUCAACAGUCUUGGUACUUUUUGUUGUUUGAACAAAAUGAACCUUCAUAUACAUUUAUAAUUUUUGUUUUUUAUAAAAAGAAAAUUGAAAAUAAAUGAUUAAUAACAUAAAUAUCAUAUCAAUAAUUCAUCAAUAAUCACGUCAAUAGACUGUAUUUUUAUUUAAAGUUAAUAACAACAUAAAUAAAAGAACCAGUAUGUACAGUUGAUUUACGUAAACGAGGUCCUGAGUUCGACUCUUGAUAGGGCCAAUCUACUAAUCUCUCGAGUCUAGUUUAGCAAAUGAGACUAGACUAGACUAGAGGGAGACUUUGUACAAAAGUCGCUUGCUUGGGUACCUCUGUCUCAUUCGUGUUUCUACCCUAAAUCAAUUGUGUUUGCAUGGCUGUCUUUCGGCUUGAAGGGUGAGAUAUAACAGUGAAUUGACAAGGUAUAGAGGAAUAACACCUGAGUCCUCAGAAAUGGC